UUUUACAUUUUAAAAAUAUAAGAACCAUACAACCAUCUAAGAUUUAAGUUGUGUUGUUUUGUAUCUUCCUGAAAGCGUAGGGAGUAUUGUGUUUUGUGCUUGGUCAGGUAUCAAAUAGAAAGCAGCCAGUCGCCACAGAGUUCCAGUAGAUCGAUCGUUCCUAUUGAACAAAUAGCAUAAAUUGAACUACAAAUUGUUGUUUGUCCUGGCCUAUUCUAUAUAUUUUUUAAGGUUCGAUGCAGUGUCUCGAAUCCUAAAUCUUAAAUCUUGUCUUGUUUGUGUGCCAAAGGAGAGUUUUACUGCCGCUCUUUGCGAUUCUCAUAGUGAAUUGAAUUGAAUUUGUUAAACUUAGGACCAAAACAAUGGACUGAAUUUCUAUGUAUUGGAAUAAAUUCUCUGAAUUAGAAUGCU